CAGCCUCCUCUGUUUCCGCCCUGAGAGCGGGCUCUUCUGAGUCGGGGAGAAUUGGGCAUCGUCACGUGCUCUGUCUGCGCCCCGAGUGGCCUCUUCUCCUCCUCCACAGACACCUCGGGGAGGGGUCAUCCUUCAGACACGCUGAGCCUAGGCUGCCCGCCCUUCCGCAGCCCCGCCCUGGCCGGCUCCUCGCGGCCCACUAGGCCGGUUCUUCCCCACGUCAGGACCCCGCCACCCCACUCUGCCCCUCCACCCGAGGCUGCCUUAUCCUUUUGCUUUCUCUCUUAAAUCUGCUGCCCGUUACUGCUAUUCUACCCUUUGGUAGGUGUCAACAGAUGUUCACACUUUCCUUUCUUUCUGAUGGUGGUCAGGAAACCUAGCACUCCACCUAAGGCGAAGAAGCCGGGCGUUUGUCUGUUGUGAGUGAGUGACAAGGGCGGAGGAGGCGUGCCAGGCUGGCUGCAGUACCAUUCCCUGAGUCUGGCACUGCCUGAAGGGAGCCCUGCCGGUCACAUCAGACGUUCCUAAGGGGCCUGGAGUGAAAGGUGCUUGCAGGGAGCAAGUGAAAGUGGCGCCCCCACCCAGUCUGCCCAUUCCACCUCUCUUUAUACUGAUGAGAGAAGCCAAAGGGAGGCAACAAGGAAAAGAAGAGAAACUGGAAGCUGGGAUGAUUGACAGACUAGAAUGACAGGCUGCUGAAACUGAAUGAAACCCCAGAAGUUAUCAAUUCAUCCUUCACUUUUUGAGUUUUUAUUGAAACACUUUGCUUUGCUUUGGGACCAUGGAUAUUCCUUGGGGCAGCCACCAAGGAUGAAUAAGGUUUGAAUGGGGAGGCACUGGCCUCGGAGCUCCUUGCUGCUGACAUCAGUUGUGCCCUUGUAGGAGACGUCCUGGUCCUGUCUGCCUCAGAGGCUUCCAUCUGCGGAUUUCCUGAGGUCGUCCCCUUACUCCUCUGCUGCAGUCUCUCUCAACAUUUCAACUGUCUGCUCCAGAAAGUUACUCUGUCACUAAGUAAAAUAAAUACAAACAAAAUAAGCAAUAAUCUACCCCCUUCCUUUCUCCUCUGGUCCCCUCUCUGUCUGCCUGUCACCCCCUCCUCAAUGAGAACGUGGAUCCCUCGUGGCAUUUCUCUGGAGGGAUGGCCCAGGCUUUCCCAGCCCAUGCACUCUCAGCCAGAUCAUUUGCCUGCGGUCCCAUGGCCGUCUCCAAAAUGUGCUCUCCUCCAAAGACUAGUUUUGCUGAUUGUCUUUGUUGCAAACUGUUUUUCUCCACACUACGCAAUUGGCAUUGCCUUUUUCAAAGUAUAUAUUUGUUUUUAUUUGCCAAAUCCACUUGAAUAUACUCAGCUUUACUAUGGAGUUUGAAGCCUGUGACUGUAUCCAAUUUAUGAAAUGUUGUCUCUCUUCCCCGUCCUGUGUGAUGUUGCUUUCUCCGUAAUUUCCAGUGCUUUUUCCCGAUGCAUCCCCCCAGGUCUCUUUUGUUCCAUUCUGCAUUCUCCGUGAGUGUUCUCCUCCAAAACCUCAGGUGCAGUCACCACCAAUGCCCCACUAUCUCCUGAAUCAUAAUCUAUAGCCUCAAAGCUUUUUGUAAACUCCAGUAGCCUGCUGCUCAUCUCCAGAUGGAUGCUCUGCAGAAAACCUAAAUGCAAGUUAUCUGAGAUGGGAUUAUUGUUCCUCUCGGUUUCCAACUGUAAGCACAUUAUGCCCCGUCUCCAGCAUAUGCCCCCACCUUGGCCCUGUGUCUCACCUCCCAUC
rnacentral:lncRNA from 10 species